UACGUAGGGGGCUAGCGUUGUCCGGAUUUAUUGGGCGUAAAGAGCGUGUAGGCGGCCAGGUAGGUCUGCUGUGAAAACUCGAGGCUCAACCUCGAGACGUCGGCGGAAACCAUCUGGCUAGAGUCCGGAAGAGGAGAGUGGAAUUCCUGGUGUAGCGGUGAAAUGCGCAGAUAUCAGGAGGAACACCGGUGGCGAAGGCGGUUCUCUGGGCAUUACCUGACACUGAGGAGCGAAAGCGUGGGGAGCGAACAGG
rnacentral:rRNA from 1 species